ensembl:misc_RNA
CUUCCCUGAGGAAAAAAGAGACCAGGUAAAGCAGCAUAUAACAUCCUUCUGAUUCCCAUGCAGCUAUCUGAGGCUUCUUUUUUCUUUGGUCAAAUCGGAUUUGUAUUUCUUCUUGGUUAAUACCCCUAGAGUGCUCCAGGCUGCUUUCUGCCUG